GGGAAUCUCUGUAAUGUUGACUAUCUAAACAAAAUGUUAAAGAACACUUUUGAGUCAGAUAUGGGAAAGGUAAUAAUAAUUUAGAAUAAAUCAUAAUCCUGUGAAAGAGAAGCCAACGUUAGCAAUGAGCAAUUUCCCAAUUGAUUUUUCUUUCAGGAAACCUAAUUAGAAACACAGAGGAUACAAAAUGGUGUCAUAAAG
rnacentral:misc_RNA from 1 species